AUACAUUUUUAAUUACAUAAUGC
rnacentral:siRNA from 1 species